rnacentral:rRNA from 1 species
AUUGAACGCUGGCGGAAUGCUUUACACAUGCAAGUCGAACGGCAGCACGGGGCAACCUGGUGGCGAGUGGCGAACGGGUGAGUAAUACAUCGGAACGUGCCCAAUCGUGGGGGAUAACGUAGCGAAAGUUACGCUAAUACCGCAUACGAUCUACGGAUGAAAGCGGGGGAUCGCAAGACCUCGCGCGAAUGGAGCGGCCGAUGUCAGAUUAGGUAGUUGGUGGGGUAAAGGCUCACCAAGCCAACGAUCUGUAGCUGGUCUGAGAGGACGACCAGCCACACUGGAACUGAGACACGGUCCAGACUCCUACGGGAGGCAGCAGUGGGGAAUUUUGGACAAUGGGCGCAAGCCUGAUCCAGCCAUUCCGCGUGCAGGAUGAAGGCCUUCGGGUUGUAAACUAGCUUUUGUACGGUAACGAAACGGCGAGCUCUAAUACAGUUUGCUAAUGACGGUACCGUAAGAAUAAGCACCGGCUAACUACGUAGCCAGCAGCCGCGGUAA